rnacentral:lncRNA from 1 species
UCCAGGCUGUUUCACAUCCGGCCGUGAUUGGGAGGUCCAUUGGGCGGAGCACAAUUGGCCCAGCAUCGUCCGGGGGCCUGGCGGGAGGGGCUGGAGUUUACCCAACACCAACAGACGAAGCAUCACGUGACUCUGGCUGCUCUUUAAUCAACGGGCCCUCUGGGAAGAGAGAGAACGCUGUGAUGCAGCCGCACGUCUUCAUCUGCUGCCAGGACGCUCCAUACGGCUCCCUCCAUACGGCUCCCUCCGUCUGCGCUCGGCGUUAUUAAAGUUCUCCCCCCUCUCUCCCCCCAAUCCUCCCUCCUGGCUUGAGUGUAAUAAAAGAAGCAGGGAGACAGCCGUAUGAGGGGAGGGAGAGAGAGGCCCGGCUGCAGUAACCUUUGUAAAGUUCCAUCCAUCUACAGGUGUGGACCGAAGAAAGCAGGCCGUGGAGCGCUGGCUGCCAGCUGACAGGGACAGAAAGGGCAUGUCAGGAUGCUGCCUCCCUGUGAGAUGUCCAGUACUCAAAGUGAGCCUGCCGGCUCAGUCAGACAGACAGCAGAGGGACAACUGCCAUAUUAAGUGGAGACCUGGCUGGAGCCCUUCAGCAGAUGUAGAGGACUGAGGACGAGGCACAAGGCUCCCGAUAAAGAUGUUAGUCGUCUCGCAUGGAAUCCAAACUGAGAAGCUCAGUUGAAAUAAUGCUGAACCAGGAAGUUAGCAUUCCAGACUAGAAGUGGUCUUAGCUGGGCUGGGGAUACCUUUAUCUGAUGUGAUUGAUUGACAUGAGCUGUAUUAGGGAUACUGAGGUCCCAUUAUCUGUGCACAUCAUCCUCCCUUUGUCCUUUGUCUGGUCUGAGCCAGUCAACCAGGUCUGGUGUGGAUGUGUUCUAUCAGGAGGGUUGGGAUCUGCAAGCUCAGCUGCAAACUCCCAGAACCAACAUGGCCUACUCAUGUUUCCACUGUACAACGAGCUGGAUGGACCACCUGAGACUGUUGAGCAGAGAUACUCUGAUGGCAGACUGAUACAGACAGGAGGCUGGUGAGAUACUCUGAUGGCAGACUGAUACAGACAGGAGGCUAGUGAGAUUGAUUGCAGCCAGCUGCUGAUCUGUAGCCUGAACUCUAAACAGAGGAGCUGUGAAAAUGGUUCAAUAUUCUCCCUCCGCAAUGCCGAUCACCAACACACAGGUCUACUGUUUCCAUAGUAACCUUUCCUUCCUCUCUCUCUCUUCUUUAUUGAGUUAAGUCCUUUCAGAAGAACACAGGGGGGCAGGAAGAUGGAUAGACUGUCAGAAUGGGGAUAUUAGUACCUUUCUGUUGGUCUUUAAGCGAUGCACAUUUGCACAGUACAUUUUAUGCUGUGAGAUUAAGUUCUUCUGUACAUUCCUAAUACUGAUCAAAUGGUUUGCCUGGGAAAGUCC